UCUCUCUCUCUCUCUCUCUCUCUCUCUCUCUCUCUCUCUCUCUCUCUCUAUUGUUUCCAUAAUCAGCGGAAAUCAAUAUUGCUUGCAGCUUUAUUGUCGAAUCCGUCAAAGGAAGAGAGAGGAUGGGAAGAGGGAAGAUUGUGAUAAGGAGGAUCGAUAACUCGACGAGCCGACAAGUGACGUUUUCGAAGAGAAGAAACGGAUUGCUUAAGAAAGCCAAAGAGCUUUCGAUCCUUUGUGAUGCGGAAGUUGGUGUCAUUAUCUUUUCGAGCACCGGCAAGCUCUAUGAUUACGCCGGCAAUUCUAGCAUGAAGUGUAUCAUUGAGCGCUAUAACAAAAUAAAAGAGGAGCAACAUCAACUACUAAAUCCUGCUUCAGAGAUAAAGGUACGCAUAUUUUCUUGUGUAACAUUUAAUUUAAAUGAUUUAAAUUUUUUUGAGAACAUGCUUAUAAUUAUUUAUAGAUUAUCCUUGAUUUCAUUGACUUUCCUCAUGUUAUUUUGAAUAUUUUCUGUUCGACUAUA